GGGGAAUUUUGGACAAUGGGGGAAACCCUGAUCCAGCCAUGCCGCGUGCGGGAAGAAGGCCUUCGGGUUGUAAACCGCUUUUGUCGGGGAAGAAAUCCCCUGGGCUAAUACCCCGGGGGGAUGACGGUACCCGAAGAAUAAGCACCGGCUAACUACGUGCCAGCAGCCGCGGUAAUACGUAGGGUGCAAGCGUUAAUCGGAAUUACUGGGCGUAAAGCGUGCGCAGGCGGUCGUGCAAGACAGAUGUGAAAUCCCCGGGCUCAACCUGGGAACUGCAUUUGUGACUGCACGGCUUGAGUACGGCAGAGGGGGAUGGAAUUCCGCGUGUAGCAGUGAAAUGCGUAGAUAUGCGGAGGAACACCGAUGGCGAAGGCAGUCCCCUGGGCCUGUACUGACGCUCAUGCACGAAAGCGUGGGGAGCAAAC
rnacentral:rRNA from 1 species